CUCACCUGGCUUGAAAUGUAACCACAUCGUUCACAUGUCCCCUGCUCCGGCAUUUUCGUAGAAGUGGAAAUUCUAAAAUCUUCCCCUGAUUUGAUAAUGUCAAGUAUCGCCCUUGGUCUGCAUCAGUAAUCAACCAAUAAUUAAUAGGGUAACACAAAGAGAGAUAUAAGAGGAAAAUCACCAAAUUUUUGGAGCAUACAGUUUCUGCUUGCAUGUAGUAGCAAAUGCAACAAGAAGAUCAUUAAUCCAAGGGCAUAUUUAUACUUCUAACAU